rnacentral:rRNA from 1 species
AUUCAGCGAGUCAUCGAAUCUUUGAACGCACAUUGCGCCCGCCAGUAUUCUGGCGGGCAUGCCUGUCCGAGCGUCAUUU